rnacentral:rRNA from 1 species
GCGUGCGCAGCUACCAUGCAGUCGAGCGGCAGCGCGGGGGAAGCUUGCUUCCCCGCCGGCGAGCGGCGGACGGGUGAGUAAUGUCUGGGGAUCUGCCUGAUGGAGGGGGAUAACUACUGGAAACGGUAGCUAAUACCGCAUAACGUCGCAAGACCAAAGUGGGGGACCUUCGGGCCUCACGCCAUCGGAUGAACCCAGAUGGGAUUAGCUAGUAGGUGGGGUAACGGCUCACCUAGGCGACGAUCCCUAGCUGGUCUGAGAGGAUGACCAGCCACACUGGAACUGAGACACGGUCCAGACUCCUACGGGAGGCAGCAGUGGGGAAUAUUGCACAAUGGGGGAAACCCUGAUGCAGCCAUGCCGCGUGUGUGAAGAAGGCCUUCGGGUUGUAAAGCACUUUCAGCGGGGAGGAAGGCGGUAAGGUUAAUAACCUUGCCGAUUGACGUUACCCGCAGAAGAAGCACCGGCUAACUCCGUGGCCAGCAGA